rnacentral:rRNA from 1 species
AGCCGCGGUGAUACGGGGGAUGCGAGUGUUACUCAGCAUUACUGGGCGUAAAGAGUAUGUAUGGCGGUUUUUUCUAAUUUUAGUUGAAAGAUAAUGGNGAUACCGUUGUGAAAACUUUAAUAUUAUAAAACUUUGGGUGUAUAUCACGUAAAUAGUAUUUAUAGAGUAAAGGUGAAAUUUUUAUAUACUAUAAAGACUGUCGAAUGAUUAAAAUUAUUUACUAGAAUACACCGACGCUAAAGUACGAAGGCGUGGGGAUCAAAAAGGAUUAGAGACCCUUGUAGUCCACGCUGUCAACGAUGGAUAUUGAUCAUACAAUUAUGUUGUGAAUAAGCAAACGCGUUAAAUAUCCCGCCUGGGGAGUAUGAUCGCAAGAUUUAAACUCAAAGGAAUUGACGG